GUUGGCGUUUGCUGACGCACGUGCGGUGCUUUCUCGGAGUGUUUUUUUUGUUAAAAGUGGCCGGUUUUUGUGUUUUACUGGUGUUUUCUGGUGGUGGAACUAACUACUAGAAACUAACCCUAUAAAUUAACAUAUUCUGAAAAAACCUGCCACUUAUAAAAUUACC